rnacentral:rRNA from 1 species
CAGGCCUAACACAUGCAAGUCGAACGGAAAGGCCCUUCGGGGUACUCGAGUGGCGAACGGGUGGGUAACACGUGGGUGAUCUGCCCUGCACUUCGGGAUAAGCCUGGGAAACUGGGUCUAAUACCGAAUAGGACCACGCGCUUCAUGGUGUGUGGUGGAAAGCUUUUGCGGUGUGGGAUGGGCCCGCGGCCUAUCAGCUUGUUGGUGGGGUAAUGGCCUACCAAGGCGACGACGGGUAGCCGGCCUGAAAGGGUGACCGGCCACACUGGGACUGAGAUACGGCCCAGACUCCUACGGGAGGCAGCAGUGGGGAAUAUUGCACAAUGGGCGCAAGCCUGAUGCAGCGACGCCGCGUGAGGGAUGACGGCCUUCGGGUUGUAAACCUCUUUCAAUAGGGACGAAGCGCAAGUGACGGUACCUAUAGAAGAAGCACCGGCCAACUACGUGCCAGCAGCCGCGGUAAUACGUAGGGUGCGAGCGUUGUCCGGAGUUACUGGGCGUAAAGAGCUCGUAGGUGGUUUGUCGCGUUGUUCGUGAAAACUCACAGCUUAACUGUGGGCGUGCGGGCGAUACGGGCAGACUAGAGUACUGCAGGGGAGACUGGAAUUCCUGGUGUAGCGGUGGAAUGCGCAGAUAUCAGGAGGAACACCGGUGGCGAAGGCGGGUCUCUGGGCAGUAACUGACGCUGAGGAGCGAAAGCGUGGGGAGCGAACAGGAUUAGAUACCCCUGGUAGUCCACGCCGUAAACGGUGGGUACUAGGUGUGGGUUCCUUCCUUGGGAUCCGUGCCGUAGCUAACGCAUUAAGUACCCCGCCUGGGGAGUACGGCCGCAAGGCUAAAACUCAAAGGAAUUGACGGGGGCCCGCACAAGCGGCGGAGCAUGUGGAUUAAUUCGAUGCAACGCGAAGAACCUUACCUGGGUUUGACAUGCACAGGACGCCGGCAGAGAUGUCGGUUCCCUUGUGGCCUGUGUGCAGGUGGUGCAUGGCUGUCGUCAGCUCGUGUCGUGAGAUGUUGGGUUAAGUCCCGCAACGAGCGCAACCCUUGUCCUAUGUUGCCAGCGGGUUAUGCCGGGGACUCGUAGGAGACUGCCGGGGUCAACUCGGAGGAAGGUGGGGAUGACGUCAAGUCAUCAUGCCCCUUAUGUCCAGGGCUUCACACAUGCUACAAUGGCCGGUACAAAGGGCUGCGAUGCCGUGAGGUGGAGCGAAUCCUUUCAAAGCCGGUCUCAGUUCGGAUCGGGGUCUGCAACUCGACCCCGUGAAGUCGGAGUCGCUAGUAAUCGCAGAUCAGCAACGCUGCGGUGAAUACGUUCCCGGGCCUUGUACACACCGCCC